CCUCACCAACAAAUGUUGUGUGCCCAAACAGCUGAACAACCCCUCACCGAAGUCCAAAACGUCACAAAAUAUCGUCAUAAUAAUAUGCACGAACUCUACCGAACUGUUUCGGCUGGGAAGCAUGUGGACGCUUUAAGAAUCAAGCAAGAUGUGUUGCCAACUCAUUUUAAUGUUUCAGGUGGUGAAAUCAAGGAUGUGAAAACGAGAGUGGCAAAGGUUUAAAAAGGUGUGGAAAAGAAUAACAAUGUCUACCAUAGACGUCUCACUGAUCUGGGACAAUACACAAGAAGAUGGAACCUGAGACUCUACGGCUUGCCAGAGGUGGAGAAUGAAGAUGUGCGAGGAGAGGCUAUCCGCAUCUGCCAAGAAGUUAUGCCUGCAGAGAAGAACAAAGUUGGUGAUACCAUGGACGUUGUGCAUCGCCUCGGCAAGAAGCAACAGCAAAACGAUUCAAGACCUAGGGGUAUCAUCAUCCUCUUCAAUGCCAGAUUCUACAGGGAAGCUGUCUGGAAAGCUGCUAGGAAGAACGCCUUCCUUCAGAGCCAGGGUAUGCGUUUCACCGAGCAUCUCAGCCCGGAGGACAUAGAAAGAAGGAACAAGUUGUGGCCAACGAUCAAGAUAACACGAAAUGAGGGAAAGGCUGCUUACUUCGUGGGAGGACGAGGCUUCAUCAACGGUUCAGAAAUCCAUAUUCCUCCCUAAAAUUUCACCAGAAGGAACAGGUUGAUGGUUUCAGCCAUGGUAUUCUCCUUUUCCUUAUGUUGUUUACUUAACAAGCACCAGGUGACUAUUUUUCAGGAAUACUCAGGUACUUCAAUUUAUUAGUUUGUUCUUGUAUGACCGGAAGUCCUAUUUUGUUUACAAACUUACGAAGAAGAUUCUUACUCAAUUUCAGCUGAUGCCAACUUCUGGAGGUCACAGUGGGGCAACGAUAUUUGGCUUUCCCAUGGAUCUGAACGCUCCGCCGAUGUCACUACAAUGAAAAAUACCUUUGGUGGUAAUAUUCUACACUCGGAAUGUGACCCAUUAUCUACAUUUCCCAAUUUGUUAUUAUUGAUAGGAGGGGACUUUGACAUUACUAUAGAUCAUUCAACCGAUACAGUAGAUGGCCCCCAGGUAGGCCAACCAAUCAGAAUUUGGGUUUAAUACUUUUUAUGGAAAAGUUUGAUCUUACUGAUAUAUGGAGAGAGAGGUUUCCGGCCGACAGAUCAUUCACUUGGAGUAACAAAACAGGCUCCAGACAAUCCAGAAUAGAUUUUUGGCUUAUAUCCAAAUGUAUUGAUAGUGAGUGUGUUACUACAAAUAUUUGUACUACUCCCCUCACAGACCAUAGGGCAUUUACAUUGAUAUCAAAAUAUUUACCCCUGAUACUAACCUUGGUAUAGCAUCCUACUGGAAGCUAAAUAGAUCAUUAUUAAAUAAUGAUAUAGUUCAAUUUGAUGUUAAAGAUCUGCUCUCACACAUUUGGGAAAGGGCUUGUGAAGAAAAAUAUUAUUGCAAGAACUGGGAGCUCUUUAAAUUUGAGGUGUCCAAAUACCUUAGAAAAUAUGGUAGUAUUCUUGCUAAGACCAGAAGAGCUGAGGAGGAAAAGGUGAUCAAUUAAGAUAACUUCCCUUUCUCAGAGGUCCCCAGCCGACCUAUCGGGGGAGAAGAAGAUGGAACUAAUUGAGUUACAAAAUAAACAGGAUAAUAUAUAUAAAUUAAAAGAAGAAGGAGCCUUUAUUGGAUCUAUAAUGUU